CGCCUUGUCCCAAAGCAUCGUUCUUCCUCUUUGAGGAAAUUUCAGAAGACCUUUAACCAUGGACAGAGUUCAGUCUCUCUAUUUUCGUGCAAGAGCAACGUCUCUCUUCUGCGAAAAACAAGACACUCUCUUCCUCUUCAUGAUAAACAUCUCUCUUCUUUAAUUUGAUCAACAAGAAGCCAAAAGACUUUUUGAAUCUCUGAUGGAGAAUCAAAGGUACGAUUUCUGAAUUCAAACAGCCAUUUUCUCAAUCGAUAUCCCGCCCAAAUUCAAUCUUAAAGACCUAGUUUUUUUCACUAUUUAUAGGAACCUCGGCCUUCAUUUUUAAAAAAAAGAUUUUCAGUCCUUUGACCUCCAUAGCAGCUUCGGCGUUCAUUUUUUUUAAGAAGCUUUUCCAUUACACCAUAUUACUGCUUAACUACUAUUUUCUGCUCUAAAAAAUUGCCUUCGCAUCCUCUUUCAAUCUCGACCAAAACUCAAGUUUCGAGCUUGUUUGAGUUCGUCAUUGUUCGAUUAUAGACACUUGAUCUAGCAGCCCCAUUCACUGCCCU
rnacentral:lncRNA from 1 species